AGGAUGCUAAGGAAGAGCUUGAACUUCAAAGCCACACCCAUGCCUAGCUUUUAUCAAGAACCUCAGCCGCCUAAAACAGAGUUAAAGAAGAUACCACCAACGAGAGCCAAAUCUCCAAAACUUGGGAGAAAGAAGACUGCUUCUGGAGCGGAUUGUGAAGAAACUCAAACUCCUCGCAUUGGUAGGCUAAGCC